rnacentral:rRNA from 1 species
AGUGAGGAAUAUUGCACAAUGGGCGAAAGCCUGAUGCAGCAACGCCGCGUGGAGGAUGACGCAUUUCGGUGUGUAAACUCCUUUUAUAAGGGAAGAAAAUGACGGUACCUUAUGAAUAAGUUCCGGCUAACUCCGUGCCAGCAGCCGCGGUAAUACGGAGGGAACAAGCGUUAUUCGGAAUCACUGGGCGUAAAGGACGCGUAGGCGGGUUAUUAAGUCGGGUGUGAAAUCCAAUGGCUCAACCAUUGAACUGCAUUCGAAACUGAUAACCUAGAGUAUGGAAGGGGCAGGUGGAAUUAGUGGUGUAGGGGUAAAAUCCGUAGAUAUCACUAGGAAUACCGAAAGCGAAGGCGACCUGCUGGGACAUUACUGACGCUGAGGCGUGAAAGCGUGGGGAGCAAACAGGAUUAGAUACCCUGGUAGUCCACGCCCUAAACGAUGAAUGCUAGUCGUCGGGACUCUUGUAGUUUCGGUGAUGCACUUAACAGAUUAAGCAUUCCGCCUGGGGAGUACGGUCGCAAGAUUAAAACUCAAAGGAAUAGACGGGGACCCGCACAAGUGGUGGAGCAUGUGGUUUAAUUCGAAGAUACGCGAAGAACCUUACCUAGCCUUGACAUUGAUUGAACGGACCAGAGAUGGACCGGUGCCUUUCGGGGAACAUGAAAACAGGUGCUGCACGGCUGUCGUCAGCUCGUGUCGUGAGAUGUUGGGUUAAGUCCCGCAACGAGCGCAACCCUCGUCGUUAGUUGCUAACAGGUUAAGCUGAGCACUCUAGCGAGACUGCCUUCGCAAGGAGGAGGAAGGUGAGGACGACGUCAAGUCAUCAUGGCCCUUAUGGCUAGGGCUACACACGUGCUACAAUGGGGCGUACAGAGAGUUGCGAUACCGCGAGGUGGAGCCAAUCUCAUAAAGCGUCUCUCAGUUCGGAUUGUUCUCUGCAACUCGAGAACAUGAAGCUGGAAUCACUAGUAAUCGUAGAUCAGCAAUGCUACGGUGAAUACGU